CUGUCUCCUGCCCCGGUACAGCGCGUAUGUAUGCAGUCUUUACUCAGUGCAACCUCUCGACAUUCGUGUGGGUUUUGAAGGAGGCGGCCACUGAUUACGUCAUACAAGACGAGAUGCCCGAAACAAAGUAAUGGCUGUGAGCUGCAGAUUCCAGUCAGUGAUAACAACCGCGUCACACUCGUUCAAGACUUGAGGUUUUCGCAGCGAUGAGGAUAAUGGCCGCUUAGGCCGUGCAACACGCCAAACCGAAAAUUAUGUUGCAGCAGCAGCGAACUAAGGACUCCGUUGAGUACAAUGAGAAAUUAUAUGCCAUCAUUGUCAGAUAAUGCCCACUGAUCGAGUUUCAGACCGUACAUACAGAAGCGACGUAAUUAUAAAUUCUUGUCAUUAUGCGAG